GGGUCCGCACAAGCGGUGGAGCAUGUGGUUUAAUUCGAUGCAACGCGAGGAACCUUACCAGGGCUUGACAUGCUGGUAGUAGGAGCCCGAAAGGGUGACGACCUUUGGUUUUCCAAAGGAGCCAGCACAGGUGCUGCAUGGUUGUCGUCAGCUCGUGUCGUGAGAUGUUGGGUUAAGUCCCACAACGAGCGCAACCCUUUUCCUUAGUUGCCACAGGUAAUGCUGAGCACUCUAAGGAGACUGCCAGGGACAACCUGGAGGAAGGUGGGGAUGACGUCAAAUCCUCAUGGCCCUUAUGUCCUGGGCGACACACGUGCUACAAUGGCCAGUACAGAGGGUAGCAAACCCGUAAGGGGGAGCCAAUCCCAGAAAGCUGGCCUUAGUUGGGAUUGUCGGCUGCAACCCGCCGACAUGAACGCGGAAUCGCUAGUAAUCGCGCAUCAGCCAUGGCGCGGUGAAUACGUUCCCGGGCCUU
rnacentral:rRNA from 1 species